AAUUCUCACUUGGACAGACUUGUCACUCCUAAAUGUAUGAAAUCUACUUAUAUUUCAUACAUUUAGGAGUGACAAGUCUAAGUGAGAACCUAUUGAGAAUU